UACGUAGGGUGCAAUCGUUGUCCGGAAUUAUUGGGCGUAAAGAGUUCGUAGGCGUCCCAAAAAGUUAGAUUUUAAAGACUUCGGCUCAACCGAGGAAGUGAGUCUAAUACUGUUGGGAUUGGAAGACUGAGGGGUUAUCGGAACUGUCGGUGUAGGGGUGAAAUCCGUUGAUAUCGACAGGAACGCCAAGGGCGAAGGCAGAUAACUGGUGGUUCUUCGACGCUGAGGAACGAAAGCUAGGGGAGCGAAUCGG
rnacentral:rRNA from 1 species